AAUUAAGGUUUACGUGGCAGGGGCGACGUUACCAAGGACAGCAGGUAGCGGGAGAGGUAGCGGGGAAGGGCAAGGCAUGCACUGCACGUCAUUAUUACGGCAGUCUCGGCCGGGCAGUCGAGGCGAACACAUGGGUUGUAUAAUCUGUCAUAAUUUUAGUGCGAGUACCUGGCACAGAGGAUUUCCGCCGUGUAGCGCGGCAACGCAGCUAGCGUUAUGGGGACUUUUGGGGCGGGUGCGUCCUGGAGUAGUUUAUUUAGUAUUUCUAAUUUACGUCGACCACAGCCGGCACCAGCGGCAGCGGCAGCGCAGGAGAUAUGCACGGGCCCACACUCUUGCAGAACCUGCGCACAAAGGCUGGAGCCGCCGCCGUAUUUACGGGAUACAAACAAAGCGCAACGAUGGAGGAGGCCAGCGUCCCCUUCUCCGCGUUCCCCCGUUGCGCCGGCGCAGACGAUCACGCAAGAAAAAAAACGCGAGCGUCCCUAUCGCCGCCGUCAUCUGUUUCGUCACCAUAGAAUAUGGGCUUGAUGGUCCAACGCUGACUGACAGCGAAGCAGGCGAAGGGCCAUCAGGUUGGACUCCGCCAGCUUCACCGGCGACU